rnacentral:rRNA from 1 species
GUCGAGAAUUUUUGACAAUGGGGGAAACCCUGAUCGAGCGACGCCGCGUGGAGGAUGAAGGUCUUCGGAUUGUAAACUCCUGUCAUUGGGGAACAAGGUGCAUACGUUAACUGCGUGUGUAUUGAUAGUACCCGAAGAGGAAGGGACGGCUAACUCUGUGCCAGCAGCCGCGGUAAUACAGAGGUCCCAAGCGUUGUUCGGAUUCAUUGGGCGUAAAGGGUGCGUAGGCGGCGCGGUAAGUCGGGUGUGAAAUCUCGGAGCUUAACUCCGAAACUGCAUUCGAUACUGCCGUGCUUGAGGACUGGAGAGGAGACUGGAAUUUACGGUGUAGCGGUGAAAUGCGUAGAUAUCGUAAGGAAGACCAGUGGCGAAGGCGGGUCUCUGGACAGUUCCUGACGCUGAGGCACGAAGGCCAGGGGAGCAAACGGGAUUAGAAACCCGAGUAGUCC